rnacentral:lncRNA from 1 species
UUUCCUUCUCUUUCCUUUUCUUUUUCAUGGAAUUUGACCUGCUUGGAUGUUUCUAACAUUUAACAGAAAAUGUUACUUAUAUUAUACUCUUUCUUUAUAAAAUUAUACAAUAUCAAUCUUCUUUUAUGAAAACUGAAAUAAUAAUGUCUUUUUUGUGUAAAAUUCCAGCUGUAAAAAUAAUUUAUUACUGAAUACUUUCAUGCUAUGAUUAGGAGUCCAGUAAUAAUUCUGGAUUCUCUUUCAGAUUUUAGAGAAAUUAUGCAUACCCAAAAAGUUUUUUCCUUUUUUUCCUAUAAUGUAUUGCACACAGAAAUAAACCUCUUCUACAAAUAUCUCUUUCCACAAACUUUGUUGUUGUUGUUGUUUCCUUUUAAUGUUGUUAUUCAGUUACCUUCAGGUGGAGCAGCAAAUCUCAUACAAGUUUGAGAUUGGCUGGGAAUUAAUUUUAGCCACAGUUAUAGUCCUCCAGCUAGGGUGAAGGACUGUAUUGAAAGCAGAGACAAGAAAGGCAUCAAAUAUUUCUCCUUUGCCUAUGCCCCUCUUUGUUAGAAGAACAACCUCAUACAGUAACAAAGCAAUGUUCUCUCUGGUUCUCCUUUUGUUGUUUACAUAUUUAAAAAAAAUCCUUUUUAUUGUCCCCCAUAUUAUUGACCAGCUUCAACUCUAACUGAGCUUUGGCCACAUGAAUUUUCUUCCUACAAAUAUGUAUAGCAUCUCUGUUGACGUCCCAUGUUGCCUGACCUUGCUUCCAGAGGCAAUACAUUCAUUUUUUUUUCUGCCUAAGAUCUAGAAGAUAAUCGCUGUUCAGUCAAGUGAAAGUUUGGCCAUGCCUGCUUGUAUUUUACCAUUCUGAAAUUGUCAGUUCUUGUGCUCUCAGGAGAUGGCACUUAAAAAGUGACUCCCAGUGCCUUCAAAAGCAGUUUCAAAGGGGAUCUCACUAUUCUCCUGAGCAGGCUAAAAUCUGUUUUCACAUAUCCAGGGUUGAGAUUUUGGUGGCAGUUUUCCUCCUUUUAUCAAAGAUUUUAAAUUCAAUUGUUUCAUGGCCUUCUGGCCAAGAUAGCCACAAAUUGCCACUUCACGUGCAAGACCUUAUCUGUUCAGAAGCAACAGACUUAGGAGAGCAUCUUUCUUCAUCAGCUCCCGAGGUACCUGUAGCAGGAAGUUGUCAUCAAGUUGUUUUAGGAAACUCCUGGACCUGUUUGUGUCAGCUGUGUGGUGUUCCCAGUUAGCAUCUAGCAAGUUGAAGUCCCCCAUAAGGACAAGUGCAGUUGAUCCAGAUCAUGUAUGCUCAACCUUUUGGCUUGCCUGGGCCAUACUGCCUUGGGCCACAUAUAAAGCAUGUAAUAUAGUUAAUGUAUAUAUGUGUAACAUAACAUUUACAUGCAUAUACAGAUUUGAUUAAAAUAUAAAAAAGAGCAAAAAAAAAAAAAAAAAAAAGAAAGCAAUUGGUUAUUUGACCUUGCUUUGUGAAAGUGAUGCAUCAGUCUUGUUCAAUGGAUGUGGUUGCAAUGCUUAGUGAGUUCUCAAACAUAUGAUUAUGAAGCAAGGCAUACUCUACACAUUCUGUUCAAAAAUUCUUACGUAAUAUAUUUAUGUUGACUGAAAAUUGAGUUGCAAGUAUGCUGAAAAGAAAACAAUUUUUUUUAAUCUUGAAAAUUAUUCUCAAUUUCCUAUACCAAAGUAGUAAGCUAGACUGCCUGUUUUUCACUGUUUACAGGAUUGUGCUUAGCCAGUGUAUCAAAACACAUAAAAUUAUUUGCUAUAACUGGAAUUGGCACUGCACUAUGAUUUCUCACAGCCCUGAACAGUCUUGAAAAUUAACUGUAAGUUAAUAACUAAAAAUAUGAAACAGUAAUAUGACCAUUAAUGCAAAUCUCACUUAAAACAGCAAUCGCAGAAUCGCAGAACUGUAGGGACUGGAAGGGACCUCCAGUGAUCAUCGAGACCAACCCUCCUGCAAAAUAGGCCCCCUACAGCAGGUUACGCAGGUAGGCGUUCAGAUGGGUCUUGAAUAUCUCCAGAGGAGGGAAUCCAUACCAUCCCUGGGCAGCCUGUUCCAGUUCCCCAUCACCCUUACCUGCAUAGACUGGAUCAAUGGGCCAAGGUAAACUGUAUAAGUUUCAAUGGGACCAAGUGUUGGGUCCUGCAUUUUGGUCACAACAACCCCAGGCAACCCGAUGGGCUUGGGGAGGAGUCGCCGGAAAGGUGCCUGACUGAGAGUGGCCUUGAUGUACUGCCAGCAGUACACCAAGGUGGUCAAGAAAGCCAGCGACACUCUGGCUUGUAUCAGGAAUGCUGUGGUGGGCAGGACUAGGGAAGUAAUCCAGUCCCUGUACUCAGCACUGGUGAGGCCCCACCUCAAGUACUCUGUUCAGUUCUGGGCACCUCAAUACAGAAAGGACACUGAGGUGCUAGGGCAAGUCCAAAGAAGGGCAACAAGGCUGGUGAAUAUGUAUGGCUUGGAGAAUACGUCCUAUGAGGCUCCCCAGGGAGGUCACCAUCCCUGUCACCAUCCCUGAAUGUGUUUAAAACUCAUCUGGGUGUGGUGCUCAGGGCCAUAAUUUAGUGGAGGGUUAUUGAGUUAGGGUAGUAUGGUUAGAUUGUGGUUGGACAAAAUGAUCUUGAAUGUAUUUUCCAACCUGAGCAGUUCUAUGAUUCUAUGAGCAAACUUGCUGAGGGUACAUUUGAUUCCACUGUCGAUAUCAUAGAUGAAGAUAUUAGAGCACUCAUUCCCAAAGGACACCACUUGCAGCUGAUUUCCAUGAGGACAUCAAGCUAUUGACCAUUACUCUCUGGGUACAAUCAUGCAACCAGUUCCUUUUUCAUUGAAUAGUCUACAAUCAAAUCCAUAUCUUUCCAAUUUGGAGGUAAGGAUGUUAUGGAGAAUCAUGUCAAAUGCUUCACUGAAGUCCAGAUAGAUGAAAUCAGUGGCUCUUUCCUUGUCCAUUGACACAGUAACGCUGUCAUAGAAGGCUAUUAGGUUAGUCAUGCAGGACCAACACAUUUACUAUUAUUGAAAUUUAUUAGAGUGGGUCAUUAGAAGCAUCAGUGAAGUGCCCAGGGAUGAACCUGGGCAAGUUGCUGGUUCAUUUAAAGAGGACGUAUUAGCUCUUUGUGUCCUUCAUUUGGAAUCCAGGAAAGACAUUUUCUGACUAAAAUAGUAAGUGUAUACAAAUAAUAAAUAGUAAGAAGAUAGUACAAGAAGAUCUUAGGCUGGAAAAAAAAGACGUAAUUAGACAUUUGAUGAAGUAAACUUUACAAAUUACAGAGAUUAUGAAGUGGCAGUAGAGAACUUAAAUAUUCCCAUUCCAAAGAUUGUUCAAAACUUUGUGAGCUUGAUGUACAUCUGCUUCUUUUCUUUGAAAAUAUUUUCAUUUAUAUAAAACAUUUGUUCUAAAAAAAUGAAAGGAUGUUUGUUCACCAGAUAUUGUUGGUGUAUUUUAGUAAAUAAUACAAUUUCAUUUAAUUAUGUCAAGAAAAUUUUGGGUGAUGAGUGAAGAAACUAUAAGGGACACUAUAUUCAAGAGAGGGAGAAUCCUAUGUCUGUAUGGACUGAUGGACUGAAUAUGAGCCAGCAGUGUGCCCAGGUGGCCAAGAAGGCCAAUGGCAUCCUGGCUUGUAUCAGGAAUGGUGUGGUGGGUAGGACUAGGGAAGUAAUCCUGUCCCUGUACUCAGCACUGGUGAGGCCCCACCUCAAGUACUCUGUUCAGUUCUGGGCACCUGAGUACAGAAAGGACACUGAGGUGCUAGAGCAGGUCCAAAGAAGGACCACAAGGCUGGUGAAGGGCUUGGAGAGACCCUCGGUGAAGGGCCCUAUGAGGAGAGACUAAAGGAACUGGGGCUGUUUAGUCUUAGGGAAGAGGAGACUGAGGGGAGACAUUAUUGCUCUCUUCAAAUACCUGAAAGGUGAUUACAGUGAGAACAGGGCUGGUUUCUUCUCACUGGUGACAGGUGACAGGAUGAGGGGAAAUGGCCUCAAGUUGCACCAGGGAUAGUUUAGGUUGGAUAUCAGGAAAAACAUCUUUAUAGAAAGGGUUGUUAAACACUGGAAUAGGCUCCCCAGGGAGGUGGUUGAGUCACCAUUCCUGGAUGUGUUUAAAAACCACUUGGAUAUGCUGCUCAGGGACAUGAUUUAGCGGAGGGUAGUAUGGUUAGGUUGUGGUUGGACUUGAUGAUCUUUGAGGUGUUUUCCAACCUGAGCAAUUCUAUUAUUCUAUUAGAGAGAUGCUCCAGGCCCUUUAUCAUCUUCAUGGCCCUCUACUGGACUCUCUCCAGGAGAUCCUUGUCUUUUCUGUACCAGGGAUCCCAGAAAUGGAUAGAGUACUCCAGGUGAGGCCUGACCAGGGUACAGUGCUGGCUCAUGGCCAACCUAUCAUCCACUAGGACCCCCAGGUCAUUCUCCACAGAGCUCCUCUCCAGCAGGUCAUGUCUCAGCCUGUACUGAUAUUUGUGGUUAUUCUUUCUCAGGUACAAGUCUGCAGUUGCUUUUGCUAAACAUCACCUGGUUUAUUGCUGCCCAGCUCUCCAAUAUAUCCUGGACAGUGACGACAAAACAUUAACCAACAGGAUGCAGCAGAUUAUUUUCAUUGUCCUAGAUAUUUCUUCAAGCAUGUUAAUAUUCUGGAAUGUCAGAGAAGUUAUGGCACAAAAACAUGUCCCUGCAACUUAGUAAUAACAAAUAACAUAAAUACUGAGUCAUUUUAGGUUGAUAAAUCAAAAGUCCACUGUCCACCUUUCUCAAAUUUUAAUGCAGAAUGUACAGACCACAUUAGAUUUUUUUUUUUUUCACUUAGGAAAAAAAGAAAGAAGCUAUUUAUUUGUUUGUAAUCUUCAUCUUUAGUACUGUGCUGGCACCAGUAGCUUAAAAUACAGAGAAUAGAAACCUGUUUCCACAGUAUUUGCAGUCCAAUAUACAAAUAUUGGAGAUGUAUGCUGAUCAGAUUUCAGCUUCUAAUAUGUAUCUGAAGUUUGAGGAACUUAUCUCAAAGAAACUGAACAUUAAAAAAUUGAUUAUGAAACAACCGAGUAACUUUGAUCAGCUUGAGCUUUCCAUAUGUUGUGAUAGAAUUUACUUUUUAUUUCAUUAAUUUUACAGCUUUACCCCAGACCUCUUAGAACUCUGAUAAACAAAAUGUAUUUGAGUCUGCAGACAGAACAUGUUGCAAAAACAAGUAUCAUGCUGAGUGUAAGAAAUGUGAAUAUGUUUUGCUGCUAGAGUUUGUUUUUGAAAGAUAGUGUUUUUUGUACAUGAGCUGAUAAAGUCUGAGAUGUACACUUUAUGUCCUAAUUAUACUAAUGUCAGUAUUGAUGUAAUCUGAGGCAUCAGGCCAUGCUCUCGUCUUGAAACAGAAAGACCAAGUUACAAUGGUAGACUGAGAUUUUGUGUGCCUUUGAGACCUUACUUAGUAGAAUAGGACUGAUCUCUGAGAAUGUGCUUGACCUUCCUGUUUUGUAGAAAUACUGGGAAAAAAUAAAUGGAAAUAGUAACAAAAGAAUUCAGUAAAAUUUGAUUAGAAAAACAGAAUUUCUAACUUUUUUUCUUUUAAAAAUUAAGAUGGCAUAAUAUUUUCACUUUAUAACUGUUAGUAUUUAUUACUUAAUGAACUUCCAUUCAUAACAUAUUAUAAUCUAUGUUCAAAAUGUCUAGAAUAUACUCACUUGUCAAGAAAGUAUUCAAGAUUAAGGAGAACUAGAGAGGAACAGUGGCAUACACGGCAGACAGGAUUUCUUCUCUUUCGUCUUUCUUCAUUCUCCCCCACCAUAUUAUGGAAGUAUUGGUAAUCCUAACCCUUCUGAGUAUCAUUUAUUAAGUCUCAUUUUAACUAUUAAAUAAAAUAUAUUUAGUACAAAGAUUAUAUAAUGGCAAUAAAGGGACAAUAAAAACUAAUUGGAUGAAUUUGAGAAAAAACUUUCUGCUGUUUCUUUCAUUAGAUCUUAAAUGAUGCAAAUAUGAUUCUACUUUUCACCAAGUCAGCAUUUUGUAAUGGGAAAUUUUUCUGGUUUUAAUCACUUUAGGUGUCUACAAAUAAUCUUCUCACCCAGUCAGUAAUUUGCUGUGUUCUGAUUAAGUCUCUGUCAGAAAAGUCUUUUUUUUUCUUUCUUUCUCUCUCUUUUUUUUUUUUUUUAUUCACCAAAUAAUUGAUUGAGUCUUUAUGAAAUGUCUUUGUCACCAUAGGAGAAAAGUGUGAAAUCUAUUGCAGCCCAGGAGGCUAUAACUGAAGAAUAACACUAGUCUGAUUAAUGUCAAACUAAUUUUAGUCCUACAACUAUCUAGCUGAAGUAAUUUUACUUCUUCAGAUAUACAAAUUAUAUUUUAAAUCCAUAGAGAGUUUCAAUACAAAAUGUCAAUAUUUUACCUGCACAAUAUGGAUUUCUAAAACACUGAGAUGGGCAAUUAAAAGAAAUAUGAUUCAGGCCUAUAUUUAUUGCAAUGAAAUUUUAUUUUUGUUUUGUAGAAUUAAUCUUUUCUUAUGCACUCUUAUAUGUACAGUAUUCACUUUCAUAUAGGGGUUUCCUUAAGAAAAUAAUUUAGGAAAUUGAUUCAGUGCUUGGCAGGAGGCCAGCCUUUUUUAGGUCCGUAUGAUUCACAGGAGAGUUUAUUCCUUUACACUGCUGCCAGAACCACUCCGAUUGAACUGUCUGCUAAAGAACUUUCUGGGUUGCUACUGCUGUUAAGUCAGUCCCUGAGGAGCCACCACCUGGCACAAAACUGUUACACCUAACAUUUAACAGUCUCAAUGUAGUGGCUGUUCAGUGACACGUUAACAAACCUUUAUGUGAAUAUCCAUUUAAUAGUCUUUUUGUCUGUUUCUUUGUCUGUUCACCAACUUCCACAGCUGAGGCUCAAGUUAGGAGGUUUUCUAUAUUUUUUCCCCUCUGGCUUUAUUUUUGUCUUAAAUAUUUUUGGUUCCAAUGAUUUGCCUUUUCCCCUUGAAAAUUCUCACAAAGGAAUUCUGUGUGUCAAAGGACGGAGAGUCUCAAUAGAGAGUCUCUAUGAGCAAUCCUUUAUUAUGCUUCUUCUAAUAACAUAAUGUGAAGUCUCUUGCACAUUUGUGGCUAAUUUGUACAGGAAGAUGAAGAACUACAUUUUUCAUUACAAAUUAAAUAGAUGGGCAUAAUUGCCAUUUAAGAAUUUAUGUCAUGUUGAAGUUGAUUACACUUUUUAAGACACUGGUUGUAUCUUGAGGAACCUUUUAUGUCUUUAUACAUCUUCCUUUCAAGACUGUUCAGUGGUGCAAUCUAAAAGAGCUGACUACAAUGAAGAUUUCAGCACAACAUAGGGAUAUCUGAACUGGCUAUAACUGAGAGAACUUGAAAUAUAGUAAUUAAGUACUUAACAUAUUUAUCUUUUUGAUAAUAAAAGGGUCUAUAUCUUUAUACCAGAAAUCAAAGUGAAGAGUUAGUCUGUUUGCUUUGGGACACCGUCACCGUUUCAUGGUUUUUCAUCGGCAUUCCGCACCAUAAUAUUGCACAGUGCACUAGGACUUAAGGAAUUAAUGCAUGAGUUUCAGUCUCUUCGUCUCAGAAGAGAAGAAUGAACUAAAACUCCCAGAAGACUUUCUUUCUCCUUUUCCAUUUUCCAUUUGGAUGGAGAGAGAAAAUGAACUGGAAGUCAGAAGACUUCUCUUUUUUCUCCCUUUGCUCCUUUCCUGAAGCAUGGAUCUGUGUGUCCCUUCACUCCCUUGCCACAGAAACGCAGCCGAAUAAUGACGGUUCUGAUGCAUUGGAUGGGAAAUGAAGUUUUAAAACAAAACUCUCUGAACUCUAACUACAGAGAGCUUUGUUAGAGAUCUUUGCUGUAGCCUGUAGGCUUUGAUUUCUGAGAGUCCUGCCAACUUUCUGAGUGCUGCACCAAUUUUAUUUUUUUUCUCUUUUUCUCUGACAUCAUGCCAACUAGCAACUUCUUUAAAGGCAAAAAGAUUUUCUAAGAUUAUCUAUAGAGUUGUUUACCGGACAAUGUUCCACACAACUGACCUUUUUUUUUUUUUUUUUUUUUUUUUUUUUUUUUUUUUUUUUAAACCAGGAGGCCAUUGUGUGCUAUAGGGCUGAAGGUAUAUUCCAACAUUUAUGGUCUCUAGGGAUUACGCUUAGGUGGUACUUAGUUGUUAAUAAUUCUACAGAAUGUAUGAUGUCUAAACUGUUUGGGUGCUCUGCAAGUUUGUGGCAUGUUCAAACAGUGACAGUUGCCUGGGUUGUGCUUCUUUGCACUGGUACUGUUUUUUUUUAAUUUAUAGAAUCUGGAGAAAGUCUUCCCCACUCCUAGAGCCAGAAAGCGCUGAGUGGCAAGAGGAAUGGGGAGGCUUAGGAGAGUCCUUAGUGAAUUGGAUGCCCUUGAUGUCAUCAAGUUGUACUCCUGAACACCUGCAAGAUCCUGAGAAUCUAAGCAGGUAUUUAAGACAGGGAUGUUGUAGCUUAGGUAGGUCUGAGGAGACACGAAUUAUUUGGGGCCUGUCUUAUGCCUGCCAAGCCUUGUAUAAUACUGUUUUGUAAAAGGAGAAAAUUUCCGAAGCUGAACAAGACAGCCUCCAAACCAAAUGAUACAGUAUUUAAACCAAACAAAACAGCCUCCGAAUCAGGCUAAAGAGAAAGAGCUUCAAAGCUGCACAACCUGAGUAAUCACAGAAGGCAUGAAUAUCAAUAUCAGUUGCCCCUGUGGAAGGACAGAAAUGGGAACAGUUGUCAUCUCAUUUAGAAUAGAAAGAAGACGAGGAGAAAGAAGAGCAAGACCCAGAGAAGGAGCCCUCAACAAGACCACUGUAAUCAAGACAGGCAACUGCAAAAAUUAAAAGACAAGAAGAGGAGAGUGAGGAAGACACUGUCACAUCUGAACAUCUGAAAAUAACUGAAAUUUGAAGUUUGAGAAAAGAUUUGUACAGCAUCUGAAGGAGCCCACUAUCACCUGGUUAUGUUGAUGUUGAGUUGAGUUGUCACAGAGACCAGGCCAAACUAUGACAGACACUCACAUAUAGGUGUCCAGUCUAAGAUAUCUUAAGAGAGAUUGACAUAAAAAAAACCAAUGCCUUUUACAUCUGGGCUACCCGUAGUGUACUUUGUGUUGGUCUUCAGAAAUCAGUAGCCACUUCAGAAGACAUCGACCUUAGUAUCUACCAAAGUUGUUCUUUCUUCUGUUCCUCUCAAUUUUUAUGAAGCUGAGUUUAAUUUGAGAGUAAAAUUGCUAGAUUAGCGUAAUUUGUUCUUUCUUGCAGUAUGAGAUUAUGUAUUAUACGGGGGACUUUCUGAUAACAUUGACUUCAGUUUUUUCAGCAAAGUUUUACAGUUUCAGAGAAAAAGCUAAUUAUUGUUAAGGCAAAAAUAUGUUAACAACUUGAAAUCGCUGAAAUCUACAGUAAGAGAGAAGAGAGAUGGCAAUUUACUUAAUUUUCUUAGAAAUUGAGGAUGUUAAGAUUCUGAAAUGUAGCAUCGAAUGCUGAAAAGUUGAUGAGAAUAAUCAUUAAGUUAACAGUAACUUAAUAUUUGUUCAUUUAUGAAUGUAGUCCAUUUCUUCUGCACAUUUUUUUUAAUACUUUACUCCUUCAUAUAUUUUUUAUUUACAAAAGUUUAAAUUUUCACAGUGGUUGGAUAUGACUUUUAAAAAGUGAUACUCUGAGGUUUCAUUGAACUCAUUUCAGUUGACCUGAUCAAAAGGGCAACAAAAAAAAAAGUCUUAUAAACUAUGAUUUGAAUUCUCACUACUAAGAUCAUUAAAAAUUGUGCUGAGCUGCAUCUUCUCAUCAUUUUUUGUAGUCUAUCAUUUUUUGCUUUGCACUUAAAUAAAUAAUUUAAAUUAAUUUAUUUCUUUCCUUAGGUUUGUUUUGAAUCUAUUUAACAGAAGUAUUUUUUUUUCAGAGCGAAUUCAAAAACUAGCACUUGGAUUCUUGGUUCAGAUCCAAUGUACAGUUAAUCUGUGCAGAUGUAAUCAAGAUAUUUUCUAUAACUUCAAUUACUGUUACUCUUCACCCUAAUUUGAAUUGUUAUGUUUUUCCAGCUAGGAGAAACUAAUGGUCUGUUAGGCUGCUUCUAUGAUAUUUCUUUGCAAUUCUAUAAAAAAUGUAUGCUUUGUUGAUCAUAUAAGAAAGUAAACACCCAACACAUAUCCAUGUGUUUUCUUUUUACCAUUUGUUGACCCUUACAUUUGUUCAUGACACUAUUCUCUUCAAGUUAGCCUUGUACUCAAAUUAAAGUGAAGAUACUUUCAGUGUUGCAAAUAUCUCCUUUUGGUCAGAUACAAGCUUUAUUCUUUUUGCCUGAAAUCUAAGGUAAACGAAAAUAGUUAACCUUGCAUGUGUGUGCAAGUUUGUACUAAGUGUCUAUCCCAGCAUUGAAAGGAGUGGUAACAGACAAUCUCAGGAUCAUCUCAUAAGCCAUCAUAUUACAUUAAGUAUAUACCAAAACGUUGUAAUAAAAAAAAAAAUCCCUUCUCAUAUUAUGAGAUUGAAGGCCAUCGUGGGUUUGUAGAUGUGGAAGUUCCCUUCCAUCUGCAAGGAGAAGAAGAGGAGAAAUACCUGCAUACAGUGUUCCAUCAAAUUCUCUGACACAGAAUAGCACAAAAGAGUCCAGUUUAUCUUGUCCCUUUUGUGUAUAAUUCCCAGUUGUGUAAAUGAAAGUUACAUGAGCAUAGGAAGAAAAUGGUAGACCCCUUAGGAUGUAAGAUAUACUACUACCUUUCUGAGAGCAAUGAAAUGGAGUUUUUUACACUGAGAAAUUUAACUGACAGCAAGAAAUUAAUAAAAUGUGCAUGUAAAAAUGUAUUGUCCAACUAAUUUAAAAAUUUGAAAGAAGAAUGUGCAUGCUAAAAUUUAUGCAUGCAUAUGACCACAAUCUACAAUGCAUGUUUAUGGAUACAAUGUAGAUACAUUAACUGGAUAAUUUUUAGGCCUAUUAGUUCAAGACCAUUUGUAUUUAAUAGUUCAGGAACGUUUAUAUUUAAUAAGGUUGUUUGCCUAUAUCAACUGAACUCAAGGACAUAUAAGUGCCUAAUGAAGACUAAACAUGUACAUGCCUCCUUAUAUAAUGAAACUGAAGGCCAUCAUGGGUUUGCAGAUGUGGAAGUUCCCUUUAGUCUGCAAGGAGAGGAAGAGGAGAAAUAUCUGCAUGCAGUGCUCUGUCAAGUUCUCCAGCCUGGCUUUUCCAGCUCUGCAACACCAUUAAAGUUGGACUCAGAGAACACACUAGAACAAAGGCAUUCCCACUUGCUAUCAUUAAACAAUAGCAACAUUUGCCAUGAAUUCCACCUUGUAUUAUGUUUGUUUGUUUGUUUUUAAUUAGUGCAUAGGGUUAUAACAGACUUAAGAACAUUACACAUGAAGAGGAGCAAAACCAUUUAUUUUUUUCAGAACAUUGGAGACAGUAGUAUAGCAUGGAAUGAACUAGUAAUGAUCUACCUACCAGCAUGAUGGGGUUAUAUUCCAUUAAAGAGAAGGAGAACUUACAGAUAUAAAUCUAUACAUUGAUAAUGUUAGAUGCCACAAGGCUGGCUGACUCAUAUAUUAAAUUGGGACAUGUACAAGUGAGUGUGACAUCAGAUAUGAGUAACAAUGGAGGUAAGUCUUCAAUGUAAAAAUAUGACAUUAAUCAAUCUGAUUACCUAAACUUCAGUCAGAAGCUGUAUAUUAGAGAUCAUAUUUAAAAGAAGAACUUUGGAUAAACCUUGGUUUUAAAAUGUUAAAAGAAGAGAGAGAAAGUUGUUAAACUACAAUAUCUUUCUCCUGCAUUUUGCAUUUGUGAAUGAUUUUCUUAUUAUUUUAUUUCUAGAUAAAUACUAGUAAUGAAUUUCAAAGUAUUUAGGUUAUUCAAGAUUCACAUCAGAAAUGUGACUGACCUCAUAGCUAAAAGAAACUAUCAUCAUCUUCUUUCCUAAUUCGAAUUAAAAAGAUUGAAGUGUUCACAUCUUAGAACAUUUUGGUAAGACUUUGCAUGAGUUUUCAUAACAUACAUUCAAAAACAACUCUGGCAGACACUAGUGUCUUCUUAAAUAGAGCUUUGAAGAGGACUACUUGGAGAAAUUAGGAAAGGAGAUUUAAAUGCUUUGGGGAAACAGUUAAAAAAAAAUCAAAACAAUCCUGUCUUCCAAAUGCAAAGAUGUUUGUGUGCAAAAAUAAGCAUACUCCUCCGGUAUAAAUUAAUGUUAUCACAUUUUACCUAAUAUCUGAGCACAGGAAAAUUUUUCUGUGUAGCCUGCAAGUCCAUUUGAACUGACUGCUAAACUGGAAAACACACACUAGUCCAUCUUCCAGCCACACAUUGGACACAUUUUUUUUUGCUGGAGGGAUAUCUCUAUUUUAACAUUCUCAUACUUGUUCUUUACAGUAAAAACAUACAUAUUUUUUUCUUAAUAUUUAAUAACAGGAAGAAUACCACAUAUUAAACAGUUUGAUGUAUACAUGUUACUAGUUGGGGUGGAGCAAACUUAUGGUUGAGCACACUCACUUUCAUUGACUUAUUUUAUUUGUAAUGAAUAUAUUACAGUGUAUUACUUUGAAGUGGGCGUAUCUCAAGAGAUCUACCUCAUCAGUAAAGAAAAACACGGUCAAUUUGAGUAGAUUCCUUUUUGCUGUCAUAAUAUAACAUAAAAUUUUACUUAAAUGUUAACCUCAUAUCAUCAGCUGACUUGGAUAGAAAGGUAACAUUUGGCAGUCGAAGUGUUGGCAUCCUUCAGCCACAUUGUCUGCUUCCCAAACUAGCCUGUCAUUUGAAGUUAUGAAGUUUUUCCUCUAUACAUAUUAACUAUCUUCAUAAUUAGCUUUAUCUGACUACCUAUUACCUUGUCUUUUUUUAGCUUACAGUUUCUUGUGUAAAAAUUAUCACCUAAGUAUCUGGCAUGAAAUAUGUUCAUGGUGAAAAAGUUGACAGAGUCAUGUGAUAGUUCAAAUAGUAAUGAUAAUUCCAGCAUAACUGAGUAAAACUCCUUGAGAGAUGCAGUUUUCUGAAUAUCUUAGCUGCUCAACCUGAUUGGCUCACCCAGCCCCAUAUUUCUGUUCUUUUGUCACUGGGAGCUGUAGGUAAAGGCAGUGGCUCAUAUGGAUAUGCUUCUGUGUUGUUGAAAGCCUCUGUCAAGAUACUCAAAAAAAAAAAAAAAAAAAAAAAGAGGUAUUCUCUAAGCUCUUUCUUACUCUUGAAGAAUUCAGUUAGGAUCUUCUGCUCUCUCAUCUGUCUUCUGCAUCUUGAAAGAAAUAGACCACAUGCUAGCUCUGUACAUGGAAGUAGAUACAGUGAAUGCAAAUAGCCUUUUAAGCAUAAAUAGCUGUUUUUUAAAAUAACAUUAAAAUAGGUCUCCAUUAAAAAAGUAAGAGCUUUCACAAUUACUUAAAGUUACUGUAAAAGCUACAGUGAGAGAAUUGAAGUGAGAGUAAAUUUGGUAGAAUGUACAGUCACUAUAACCUAAUCAUAUUCAUUCCUACUGUGGAUACUGUACAGUAUUUUCAUUUUAAGAAGAAAUCAAGCAGUUUACUACUUAUAUAUUUUUAAAGACAUAUUUUAGUAACAUGGCAAUGAGAUACAUAUCCCUGAAAAUAUUAGUUCUAAACACAAAGUCAACACAUUUUCCUCGGCCAGUGAUCCAGGUUCCUUUGAGAGAAACAAUCAAACAAACAAAAACAUCAUUUUUAAGUAUAAUUAUUUAGAGUUCAUGUGGAAUAUCAUAGAAUCAUAGAAUCACCAAGGUUGGAAAAGACCCACAGGAUCAUCCAGUCCAACCAAUGGUUCUUGCUAAACCAUGUCCCUCAGCACAAUGUCCAAACAUUCCUUGAAUACCUCCAUGGUUGGUGACUCCACCACCUUUCUGGUCAGCCCAUUCCAGAAACCACCCUUUCAGAGAAGUAGUAUUUCCUAACAUCCAGCCUCAACCUUCCCUGGUGCAGCUUGAAGCCAUUCCCUCUAGUCCUAUCACUAGUCACACGAGAGAAGAGGCUGGCCCCCAGCUCACUACAACCUCCCUUCAGGUAGUUAUAGAGAGCAAUAAGGUCUCCCCUGAGCCUCCUCUUCUCUAGACUGAACAAUCCCAGCUCCUUCAGCCGCUCUUCAUAAGGCCUGUGCUCCAAACCCCUCACCAGCUUUGUUGCCCUUCUCUGAACACGCUCCAGGGUCUCAAUGUUUUUCUUACAGUUAGGGGUCCAAAACUGAACACAGUACUCAAGGUGCGGCCACACCAAUGCUGAGCACAGGGGGACAAUUACUUCCCUACUCCUGGCAUACAAGCCAGGAUGUCAUUGGCCUUCUUGGCUACUUGGGAACACUGCUGACUCAUGUUCAGCUGAGCACUGACCAAUACCUCAGAUCCAGGUACUGGAUCUAACACCGGGACCCGGCACCUGGUCUUGUUGAACCUCAUCCCAUUGUCUUCAGCCCAGCUAUCCAGCCUGUCCAGAUCCCUCUGUAGUGCCUCACUACCCCCAGGCAGAUCAACACUUCCAGCCAUCUUGGUGUCAUCUGCAAACUUACUGAGGGUGCACUCAAUGCCCUCAUCCAGGUCGUCAAUAAAGAUGUUAAACAGGACAGGCCCCAGCACCGACCCCUGGGGAAAACCACUCAUGACCGGUCACCAGCUGGAUUUAACUCCAUUCACCACCACUCUCUGGGCCCGGCCCUCCAGCCAGUUCCUUACCCAGCCAAGAGUGUACCUGUCCAAGCCAUGGGCUGCCAGCUUCUGCAGGAGAACACUGUGGGAGACAGUGUCGAAGGCUUUGCUGAAGUCUAGAUAGACCACAUCAACAGCCUUUCCCUCAUCCGCCAUGCAGAUCACCAGAACAUAGAAGAAGAUAAGUUGGUCAAGCAGGACUUGUCCUUCAUGAACCCAUGUUGGCUAGGCCUGAUCCCCCAGUUGUCAUACCAAUGAUUUUGUCAUACUACUACCAGUGUUGUUUUUGUGAUACCAUCCAUUGGGUAAUCCAGUCACUUUCUGCUAUUCACUAUGGCACCCAUAAGUUAUCUGCAGUACAACAAAUUGAAAAAUAAUACCAGUAAGUAAGAAACACACAAUUCCAGUAAUUAUGAGGGCUGGAUGCUAUUUUCUGCCUUGGGAUGAGGCUGAAUGUAUCGUGCUGGAACCCACCUAGAGCCAGUCCCUGUGGAAACACAAGCAUAUCCAUGAUCCUAAAUUAUCAGUGAUAAGGGACCUUCCCAAUGCCCUGUGGCCAUAUUCGAAACAUUAAUCAUUAGCUGUUCCUUAAGCAUUGGGGAGGCCCCAAAAUGACAGUCUACUCGAGUUGUAUCUGUAUGAUUAUGAUUCAAAAAAUUCAGCACAAGCAAAGCUUUACAUAAUCUUUCUUUUGGUGUGUCUCCAGUAUUCUUCCUUUUUUAUUUAUUAAGAAUACAUUUCAGUGUUUGAUGAGCACGUUCAAUGAUAGCUUGUCCAGUGGGAGAAUGAGGAAUGCCUGUAGCAUGUCUAACCCUCCAUUCUUGGAGGAAAAUUUUAGUGGCCUUACAAGUAUAUGCAUGUACAUUAUCUGUUUUUAUAAUAUGUCGGAUCCCCAUAACGGCAUAAGCAGAUAACCAGUUUUUACAGUGUUUACAUCCAUUUUGCUAUGGCAAACAUUUAAGAAUAAGUCAUCUAUUGUUACAUGCACAUAUUUUAGAUGGCCAAAUUCAUGAACAUGAGUGACAUCUGUUUGCCAGAAUUGAAGAGGUGCUGUGCCAUAGGGAUUUGUCCCUAUCUAAAACAAAGGGGUAAUUUCCUGACAGUUUGGGCAUGUUAGAAUAAUGUUACAGGCAUGAUCCACUGUCAUUUGGAAUUGUUUUUGUAAGGCUCUCUUAUUCUGAUGGAAAACCUGAUGGGAUAGUUGCACUUGCUGAAAUAAUUGAGGGGUAGCAAAGGCGACUGUGGUUUGAUCAGCCUUACAGUUGCCCUCAGUUAACAGACCAGGCAAUGUAGUGUGUGAUCAAAUAUGCAUAAUAAAAUAAGGAAGAGUAUGGUGACAGAUAAUGUAAAACUCGCUGGAGCUGUGCAAACAAAGCAAGGUUGUUAACUUCCUUAAGAAAAGAUUCUUCAAUCCACUGAAUGAUACCUGUAACAUACAAAGAGUCAGUUAUUAUAUUAAGCUUCUGUUCUGAAAAAAAUUUGAAAAGCUUGAGCUCCCGCAGCGAGUUCUACAGUUUGAGGUGAUCCAUUGACAACAUGUAUAUCUAUCUGACUGCCAUUGUGUAGCAGUCACACGCCAGAGAACCACGGCUCAGUGUGUCUUGCCAGAGCCAUCUGUAAAUACAGUAACAGCAUUAGGUAUUGGAACAUGUAAAUGUAAAACAUUUGUAGAACGGGACAGAUCACUCAAAUUUGCAGUAACUGAUGUCUGGGGGGAUGAGUGGAGAUUUGUCCAGUAUAGCCUGUCAUAGCAAUUUAUAAAGCAAGCAAAUGCACAAAGCCAAUCUGAAUCUUUUUUAGUAGCUGGUAUAUAGGUGCAAUCAGGGUCAAAAGCUCGUAAAAUUUGCAGAUGAUGUCAACCUUACUGUUUUAGCAUUGCAAACGUCUCCAUUUGUGAUGUAAUGGUUUUUGAAAAUGCAUGUGGUAAGAAUAUCCAUUCAAGGAUGAUGAGAGGAUAUUUUCUUCAGAUAUCCUAUUGACAAUAAAAAGCUGUAUGGCUGAUAAGAGAUUGAUAUUAUUAUAAGAGAUACUGGAAGUGAUAAACAAAUAUGAUGGUGGUAUCAAUGUUGCAAUGAUGUUAUUACAGUGUCUAAGCAUUGUAGUACUUCUGGUUUUGUCUUUUAGAGGUUAGAUCUGGGUCUCCUUUGAGUAGUUGAAAUAGAGGGUGUAGCUCUUAAGUAGUAAUACCCACAAGUGGUCGCAACCAGGCCUUGGAAAGAUCAGGCUUUUGGAAUAGAAGUUAUAUUUCCAGAUGUACAGAACAAGAAGUUCUCAAAUGUAGUAAUAUCUUUGUUUUAUAGUGUUUUUAUGUUCUGACUUGUACAUUGCAUUGAUUCGUGCUAUUCUAGUGACUGCUGAGGCAGGGUAAGAAGAUAGUGGAUUACCUCUUUGUAUCCAUUAAAAUCAUUCCAUUUAAGUGUUUAUGCCAAUAUGGAACAGUUCAGGCAUAUACAUAUCCAACCUGCUAAUUUUAUGUUUUUGUUUCCCUCUUUUGUGUUUUAAUAGCACAUAUAUAUGUAUAAAGUUUUGCAUGUAGUCCAAGAUGAUUCCUCUUCACCCAGUAUGGCUCAGUCAAACCAAAAGGUUGGGCACCCAACUUUAGGUAAUCAUAAUGUGCAUCAUUACCAUAUUUGAGGUAUGAACAAGAAGUGAAAAGCUUGUAAGUAGGUGGGCCUGCAGUAAGCACAGAUACUUUCUUCCACUCCAGAAUGAGAUAAGUGCCCUUUCCAUCACCCAGGGGUGCAUCCAUGCAUGCCACACUUAUCCAUGUGCUAUGUUCUUCCUAUAGAUAUACUAGAUUAAGUGUAGGCUUCUAGGUCAUAGUUUUUCUGCACCGUGCUUUACAAGAAAAAGGCAUCGUGACAAGAGAGCUGGGAUUAGAAGAUUGUUGUAAACAAUACAAAGAUUUAAAAGCAAGGCAAACCAAGAAUAGACAAAGGCAGAAACAGAGCCUUCUUUAGCUUGUUUUAUUCUGUUUGUUUCAUUUUCUUCCAUGCACAUAUUGAAAUAUAAUUUGAUUUUGGGGUGGUCAUGUGUGAAGCCAGGAUAUUCCGAUUCUGCAUUUCUAAACUUCUAGAUUUAACAUCACAAAUCUUUAACUGGGAUGAUAGGUAAUCAUAGAAUGGUUUGGGUUGAAAGGAACUUUAAGUUCAUCUAGUUCCAACCCCCCUGCUAUGUGCAGAACACCUCCCUCUAGACCAGGUUGCUCAAAGACCCACUCAUCCUGGCCUUGAACACCUCCAGACAGGGAGCAUUCACAACCUUUCCGGCAACCUGUUCCUAUGUCUCACCACCCUCACAGUGAAGAAUUUCUUCCUAAUAUCUAGUCUAAAUCUACUUUCUUGCAAUUUAAAACUAUUUCCCCUCAUACUGUCACUACACGCCCUAAUAAAAAGUGCCUCUCUAGCUUUCCUGCAGACCCCCUUCACAUACAGGAAGGCCUUUAAAAGGUCUCUUCAAAACCUUCUCUUCUGCAGGCCAAAGAAAAGCCUGUCCUUGUAAAGGUGGUUCUCCAGCCUUCUGAUAAUCUUUGUGGCCCUCCUCUGGACAAGCUCCAGAAACUCCAUGUCCUUCUUGCGAUGGGGGGGUCCAGAUGCAGCUUUUAUUUUGCCUAUUGGUACUCAGAGAUUGAAGAAAGCAUGACAUUUUUUCAGGGGAGGCUUUUUGAAGGUACAUGUUUUAAAGCUGAUCUUGUUUCAACAAAUUUCUGUCAUCAUUGUUAAACGGGUGAUCCUCUACACGUAUGAAAGAAGAAUGAAAAAGGAUGCUACCAAAAAAAGAAAGGAGAAUAGAUAUAUGGAGCUUUCUUUUAUUUUUAAUAUUGGUAUGUUGAUAAUAUUUCUUAAGGACUAUAUGAAUAUUAAGCACAUCACCUUUCUGGUUUAACAUAUUUAAUAUUUGAAAUUGCUUGAGCAUUUCUUUUCUGUUGAAAAUUCCUCAAAGAAUGUUCUCGAAUAAUCAAAAUAUUUACAGAAUAUAACCUCUCAGUAAAUUCCAGCACUGACGUUCAAUAUUUCUUCACUGAAAUGUGAGAAAUUUCAAUUGUUGAAAAAUUUAAUUUAGCUUGAUUUCCAGAGGUCUGUGUGUUUUGUCACUGUAGAAUAAAAUGACACAUUAUAAGAGUGUACUACUGAAAAAAUUUCAAACAAGCCAGCAAUUUUAGAAAUAUUUUCUCUGUGACUGGAAACAUGAUAGAUUUUGCUUUUCAUAGUUCUUUUUUUAAAGGAAAAUUAUUCUUACUGGAAAAAAAAAAUAAUGCUUUCUUUUGUUGAACCAAAAAAAGUUCAAAAGCUCUAUUGUGUUUAAUGAGCAACAAAGAAUCUAGAGACAAAUUAUCAGGAUACAAAACUGGAUUGAGAAACAAGAUUUUAGAAAUGAAUGACAUGAAAUGAAAAGUUGUACCUAGUCCCAGACAAAAUACAUACUUCUCUCAUCUUGUGUGACAGCACUGGCCAGUACCAUAAACAUCAAGUUAUACAGAAAAGAGGAAGGCUCAACUUUCAGUUUGAAAAACAGUUUUGUUUUGUUUGUGGGUGUUUUUUUUUUUUUUGUUUUGUUUUUUAAUUGCUAACAUGGUCAAAUUCUUAAAUGGUUUUCACUUCUAUAAGAAACUGAAAAUUUGUGAGAUUUGUCAGUGAAAAGAGUUAUUUGUCUUUAAGUAUUUUUUAUAGGAAACAAUUGCAUGACACUUAAAUAUUUUUUCCAUCAGAAAUGACUGUUCGAACUUGCAGCCCAUCCUUGUGGCACUACAGGAUGUUUGACCACAACACUAUAACAUAUAAAAUAGUAUUAUUAAAGAUUAAUUAUGCUUAAACGACAUUGUUCAUCAUCUACACUGCUUCAUCAGUAAAAUAAUUUUGUUAAGUGGUAAAUCACAUAAGCUACAGAAAUAGAAAUUGAUAUUUUAGUAAGAAUUCCUAAAUAAAACAAAACAAACAAACAAACAAAAACCCCAACACAACAACAAACCUCUUAGAGACUAGCAAUGUAUCCUAUAUGUUUGUAAUAUGAAUCCAUUUUUUACAUAUAGAAGAAAAAUUACAUUUUUCUUUCUUUUUUCUUUUCUUUUUUUUCCUCCGCCCAUGUGCCCAGAACACUCUCUUCAAAAUAAUCAACUAGAAAAUGGAAACAACCCACUUCAAGUGCGGUAUUAAAGAAUCCUCAACUGACAGCAAAUAGCUUCAUAGAAAGCUGCCUGCAAUUUUCCUGCCAUUAUACAAAUAAAUAAACAUAGUGAUAAAUCAUGAAUAUUAUUUCUUAAUAUAUUUUCUGAAACUGUGUUCAGUCUACACAAGUAGAAGUGCAAAAUACUACAAAAAUACUGCUAAUGACAAGCAACCUUAGCAAUUAAGAUGAGCAAAUUUGGCACGGGGUCUCAGUGAAGAAACCACACCAUUCAGUAUUUGGAUGUUAACCUAACCUAGUUACACUUACAGUUGUAAAAUUUUUGUUCCUUGAAGAUCAAGGCUAAAUAAUUUUCUGUUUUGAGAGAAAUAACUUUAACUUCCAGAUAAUGUCCGUAUUCAUUACCUACCCUUCAGAUACGUUAGAUUCUAGCAAGAAGGUUCUGAAUAAGUCAAAUCUCUCAAGUCAUUGGCAAGAUUACUUCUAUUCUCUCUAAUGGUGAACAGAUUGUUUUGACUACUAAUGAAAGACAUUACUACAUACAUCUUCAUUGUAAAAGGAAGUUAAAUAAUAAACAGAAUUUCUGAUGAUUUACAUACUUGUCUUGAUCAAUGCGGUAUGUCUUUAUGCUCUUUGGGCACGUUUCUCACUACAAAAAAAAAUUUAGAGGCCUUAAAUUUCCUAAACUAUCAAUGACAUCCAUUUAUGUGCAAAUUGGCACCAAUGCAGAGAAAUAGCUAAAGAAAUUCUAAUUGGAAAGGAAAACCUCAGAUCUCUUCUGUUAGUGAUGACAAGGGCAUUUCCUGUUCGUGCUCUCAGUUAAUUACAGAUUUAAACCUCAACAAAACAAAAUUAGGUUAGUGAUCAACUGUCUGAAAAUAAAUAAAUAAUGCGUUAUGUAUUAGCAAUGGAUGGGAAGCCUCAGCUGUUAACAUCUUUCAAAGUAGUUGGCAGGUACUAUGAGACAUUAAAUUUUUCCAAUUCUAAUUAUAUAAUGAGGGAGCUGAGCAAAGAAGCUGGACAGAAAGCGUAUUUCCCCCUGUAUCAAAAAAAAGCUAUACAAAGGUGUACAGAAGAGAGAGAGGUGUUACGAGAUAAUCAGCAUGGCUUCACUGAGGUCCUGCCUGACCAAUAUUUUUUAUGAUGGCAUAAUUGGGUGGGCAAGGGAAGAGUCACUGAUGUAAUCUAUUUCAACUUCAGUAAGGCCAUGACCCCCCCAUAACAUCCUUCUUACCAAACUGGAAAGACAUAGAUUUGAUGGGUGGACUGUUCAAUGAACAAGGAACAGGUUGUGAGAUCAAACUCAGACUGAUGGUCAGUGGCUCAUUGUGCAGAUGGAGAUCAGUGACAAUUGGUGUCCCUCAGGGAUCAGUACCAGGACCACUGAUCUUCUGUAUAUUCAUAAAUGACAUUAACAGCGUACCCUCAGCAAGUUUCCAGAUGACACCAAGCUGUGUGGUGCAGUUGACUCACCCGAGUUCUCAACAUCUAUGCCCAGAUGUAGAAUACUCAAAAUAGGAGAGACUUAAACAUGAUACAGUGCAUCCAGAGAAAGGCCAUAGAAGUGAUUGGUCCAAUGGUCAGAACACCUCUGCUAUGAGGACAGGCUGGAAGAGCUGGGGCUGUUCACCCUAGAGACGAGAAGACUCUGGGGAGACCUGAGAGUGACCUUUUAUUAUCUGAAUAGGACAAUAUGAAAGGAGGAGACAGACUCUGCAGUAGGAUCUAUUGUGAAAAGACAAGCAGAAAUGGUUUUUUAACUAAAAGAGGGGAGAUUUAGAUUGGUUAUACUGAAGUUUUCCACAGUAAGAGUGACUAGGCACUGGAACAGGUUAUGCAGAGAUGGGAUGGAAACCUUGUCCUUGGAGACACUCAAGAUCGAGCUGGAUGAGGCUCUGAGCAACCUGAUUUUGCUGUAGAUGUCCCUGUUUGUUGUCGGGGAGUUGGACUAAAUGUCCUUGAAGGGUCCCUUCCAAUUGAAAAAUUCUAUUAUUCUAUGAAGCUUAGAUUACUUAAUACUUCAAAAACUGCUGAGAAUUUGAAACAUUUUUAUGAAAUACUGAAUUCCAGUUCUGGAAAAAAAAAAAAGACAAUUCCUUGAUUUUUAGAUAGUUUAGAGAACAGAUUUUUUUUUUUUUUUUUUUUUUUUUAAUACAGAAUUUGAGCAGAUUUCCGUACUUACAUUUUCUGAGAAGUUACGGAAUCAUAGAAUCCUUUGAGUAGAAAGGAACUUUUAAAGGUCAUCUAUUGCCCACAGUGAACUAGAAUAUCUAUGCUCAGGGUAGCCUGAACUUGAAUGUCUCUAGGGAUGGGAGGCAUACUACCAUUAAACUGAAUUUCUGACUACUUCUGCAGUCAACACUCCUGCUUAAAACAAACAAACAAACAAACUGCUUUUCAUGUUCCCUUUCCACAUUUUAUGGCAAUAAAACAAAUGCUGUUUCCCGGUAUAUCAGAAAAGCUGUAGCAUGACAGUGUCUCAUUUUCAAGAAUAUUAAGAGAAUAUAGUAUUUAAUAUGUUAAUAUUGCAAAAUAUUGAACUCUGAAAUAAAUCAAUAUGAAUGCACAAUUGAGGAAAAAAAUCAUAGCAGAAAAGAAAAUAGCUCAGUAUAUUGAUCAGUUGAAAACUGAUUACAGACCCUAAAUUCUGUGAAUCUAAAGACAGAACAUUCAUCAGUGGCAGAAAUAGUCAAAUAAAAUGAUGUGUUUAAAUUUUUGUAAAACUAAAAACAAAGUACACUGUUUUUAUUUCCAACAUUUCUUGGAUAAUCAAGGAAAAAUACUGCAUUUAAAAUCCCUUAGAAAAAUUCUUUACAGGAUGAACUUCUUUGUUUACAGAGUCCUGUGAAGAAUACUGUCUUCAAAAAACAAGGGAGGAAGAAACUGAGAUAGAUAUCACAACCCUCAAUAAAAUACAGACACAUAGAAUAGCCUUUAUUUAUGGAUAGAUUUAUAAAGAGACUGUUCGGUCUUCAUGCUAUUUUUUAAUGAUGGAAACCAAAAAUAAAAUUCAAAUGGCUUAAUUCUGUGUUAGAUAUGACAGUCACAGGACAGGAAUGAAACAGCUAGUCAUUAAUCCAGUGGAAAAAUCUCUUUAUUUUAGUGGGUUCAGAAUAUUACUCAAGAUGUAUUUUCCGCAGCAUGCAAUGAUUUUCAAGAAAGUAAAAGGCUUCCCGAUAGAAAAUGAUAACAUUCUAUUUUAGUAUAUCCUUUGAGACCACAGAACUAGGAGAACAAUAUGUAUUCAUGUGUGAUGUUAACUAAGGCAUUAUAAAAAUACAAGAAAAUGAGCUUCAUUAUGCUGUAUUAAUGUGUCAAAGCACUUUACUGAAAAAAGAAAUAACAGAAUGACAUGCAGCAGUGGAAAAUAGCAUAUACAAGUAUUAAUGGACUGAUGUGUUAAGAAAGCUAAAAUUCAGUGAGUCAAAAGAACACUAAAAUUCAGUGAUUCAAAUAUUACUGCUCUCUUGGCCAUACAAUGAGAGAUGAACAGAGAAAUAGUAAUCAUAGAUGAAUUAAAAAUACUUUAAGUUGAGGUUUAGAAAAACAAAUUGGUCUAUAACUACCAGGUUAGCAAGAAGGGAUUUAAGGGGUUUGAGAUUAUGGCCAUUUAUAGAAUACCUGAAUAUACUAUCACUGCAUAAAGAAAAACUGAACUGAAAAGUGAUCAUAAAAUUACCAAAAAAAAACCAAAAAAAAAAAAAAAAACCAAAAAAAAAACUUAGGUUGGAAGGAUCUCAGAAUACUAUUGCGUCCAAACUCCUGCUUAUAGCAAAAUCAGAGUUGUAGCAGAUUACUCAGUGUCCAUCCAGUUGAAUUCUGAGCAUUUCCAAAGACAGAUAGAAAACAAACAAAGGAAUAAAAACCCUAUACUUCCAAGCAAACUGUGCAUUCUUUUAGUGAAACAUUCAUUUCGCUACAUCAAGGCAGAAUUUCUCAUACUGGAAUGCAUGACUAUUGCCUCUUGUCCUCUGACACUUAUAUGAACAUGUAUGUGAAAAAAAAAAAAAAGUAGAAAAUAUUUGAUCAACAGUGAAAUCUGCUCUUACUUCCAUCAAUGCAGCCCAGAUAAUUCUCCACAUUUUUAGGUGUUCUAGUCUCACCAGGAACAGAAUUCAUUUUCUUCAUGGUCUCUGGUAUGAUUGGCUUUAGGAGAAAAAUAACGUGGAUAGUAGACUGAUGUUGUUGUUGUUGAGUAGUGCUGUACAGAGCCAAGGACAUUUUGGUUUUUCAUCUUCUCUGUGAGGGGGGCUGAGGGACACAAGGAGCUGGGAUGGGACAGAACCAUGACAGCUGACCUGAACUGGUCAAAGGGAUAGUCCAAACCAUAUGACAUCAGGCAAAAGCUGUAAAACUGGAGGAAGUUGGUCAGAGUCACAGAGUCAGUUGGGAGUGGAACAGGCAUAGGUCUUUGGGAGGCAAAGUGACUGUGUUACACAUAAUUUGUAAUAUACUAUAUAACAUUAUAAUAUAAUAUUAUAUUAUUUAGUAUUAUAUAAUAUAUAGUAAUUUUAUCUAUAUGUUUAUAUUAUUUCUAUUUUCCCUUCUUGUCUUUGUAAACAGUUUUAAUCUCAGCUCUACUUUAUUUUCUGACUCUAUUCUCAGUCCCACUGAGAAGGGAGGAGUGAGCAAACUGCAGUGUGGUCCUUAGCUGCUCAGUGGAGGAAACCACGAAAUGCAAGGAAAAGAAAUAUAUUGAAAUGAGCACUUUUACUUUUUUUAUUUUUGCACAAAAUACCAACAUGCCCUACAAAUUAUGAAUUCUGUAGCCUUAAUUUAUGUCAGUAGUAUAGUUAACCUCACGGAGACUCCAGAAGAAAACCUUUUACCCAUCAGUGAACAUCUCAUUUAGUGCCAUUUUGUUUACAAGAGAGAAAUUAAAAAAAAGACCACUUUCUGAUUCCUAUUUUAAACAAAAGCAUCAUCUGCAGUAAAUAGUCUGGCCUGCUCAAGUAUUAGACAAAUACAACGGGAAAAAUUAAUGCAUUAGAAGGGUGAUAGAGUAAUGCGUUAACAGCAAAGUGACCAGCACAGAUAGUAUGGUACUUCAACAGAUAGUAUGGGGUGUCUAAGAGAGGUGGAGCCGGGCUCCACCCCUUCGGUUGCACAGGUGAAUUGACUUCACCUGUGCUUCCAGGGCUGAUUGGGUCUUUUCCCCAGGUGCUCAAUCAGUGGUUCAGGCUGUGACUCAACACUUAACCAUACACAGAUAACAACAUAUUUCUGUAAUAAUUGGAAUUUAUUUUCAGAAUGUGCUACAGGUGUGAUUACCUGGUUGGCAAUCUAUCUUUGCACGUGUGUCACAGAUCAGGGCAAUAAGACUCCUUGAUUAUUUUCUAACCUACUGCCUCUGUUGUUUUGUACUACUUUUCUCAUUAUUGCUGAUGUGUCUUUUGAUCUUGCCAGCACUGUCAUGAUAGAAGUUGUCUUUCUUUCUUUGCCAUGGAUUCCCAAGGGUUCGGAAACCAGAAUCUAGUCUGUUCACUGGCUGAGCCACGUGGGGAGUGAUGACAUGACCCAAUAUGAGUGCAUCAGAAUCUCCGUUUAUUAUCUGUUGCUUACACACAUAUAUAGAUUGUGGCGAACGCACGUCACCUUGUAAUUGGCUGAAGCAUUGCGAAAGCCCCCUCCCCUACAAUACCAUUGGCCGUGGAAUCACACAUCUUGCUCGCAUAGCUACUGAUACAGCAUUAAUCAUCACAUUGUUCUUUGUAUUCCAUUACCUCAGUCUCUUCCCAGCCUAGCUUCCCCUUUAGCUGCAGCCUCAGCUUUUCUUUUUGCUUUCAUAGCCUCAAGGUCUCAUAGCCUGAGUUGUGCACGUAGCACCCGAGCUCACAAAUUCUUGCUCCCUGAGCCAUCAUAGCAAGCUAGUACUUUUCCAUUUGUAUCUCCUGCCAAUUGUUAGGCCUGUUCUGCUCGUACAUCUGUUCAAGGGACCCAUGGCCCCCUUGGCUGUGGAGCCAUUCCUCAACGUUUCUUUCAUGCAAGUAUUUGGUUUUCAUUAUUUACUUUUCAUCAUUACUCGGUCUGCAAUGAACGAGUUUAUUUCAAAAGCUUUGUUGCAAACUGACAAGAAACAUGACAGUUUAUUUUCUUGCCUCUUCAUUAGAUUAGGAAUGCCAUGAAUGAUUUAGAAUCCAUUUAUUUUUAUUAAGAGGCCUGAUGCACUUCAUUUUUGCAAGGGGAGACAAUAAAGGAAUUAGAAAUACUUAUUUGGGAUGUGGUAAUUCAGAGACCUUGAGUUUAAAGCACUUGAGUGGAAAACUCUAUAUGUAAUUCAGAAAUAAUAACUUUUUUUUUUUUAAGGUUUGAGUUAUUGUGAACAACGUGUAAAAUAGAAGAGGAUGAGGCGAACAUUUUCAAAUUUACACAGUAUAGGCACUUCUUUGUAGUCAGCCUUGGAAAACUCCUCUUUCUUUUAGUGAAAAUAACAAUUUAAUGUGCUAUUUAUCAUCAGACUAUGAAAGAGACCAUUAUUUCUACAUAAUCCUUAGCUCCUUUUAUGUUUUACUGAUAACAUAUUCAGUGCAGAUCAACAGGCUUUUAUUUAAUGCAUUAUUUUAACAAAGAAUGUGGAGGAAGCAUACAGUAUGAACUGAAAAACAUCAUCUUUGUCAGAGGUGUAUCCCAUUAAAGAAAAUAAUAUAUGUUGGGAACUCAGAAUAUAUUUACAUAUUUAUCUUUUGAGCUUCAAUUUAAAUAUAUUUUCAAGCAAUCAAAAAACGAAGUCAAAUUGCAGAAUUCUCUGAAAUCUCUGCAGAAAUAUUAUGAUUUUUUUAUAUACAGUUACUUUGAAGUGCAUUUUUCUUUUAAUAUGACCAUUAGUUCUACCCAGAUUUUCAGUUUUCACCUAUUAAAAAACCUUUGCUCUCUUUUAUCUUCUUUUUAUUCUCUAAAAAAUAUAAAUGGUUUUGUGCCUAAUUCUACAUUAUUUAGCUGAGAUGUUGAUCUGGAUGUGUAUAGAAAUAGGUAUGUCUAGUUGGACCAUCAUGAAAAUAAAGGUACUCUUUUAAGGAAUGUAACAUGAGAGCUUCAUGAGAUUUAGUUGUAUUUUAAAGAAAUUUUCUUUUUCAAGAAAAAAUGUCAAGAAAAUGAUGCUCUCCAGUUAAUUUUAAUGUUCUUAUCACAGUCUGCCUUUUAUUGCCUACCAACAGGAAUCCAUAUACAAUAUGUUUCAUAUAUAUGCCAUAUAUUAUCUGAUCUAGGUCUCAGUUAUCAGUGCAGGUUUAGUUAAAACUUGAAGGGAAAAGAGAGAGGAAUUGAAUGUAAUUCACAAAAUAAAUAAAUAAAUAAAUCUUACUUCAUUUUAGCUGUUUCUAGACUACUUUGUAAUUGUUCCUUUAUGGAGUAAUUGCAUAGUAGUGAUGGCUCUGGUGUGUAAGAUUUUAAUCACCUGACCAAUAUGGUCUUUCUGCUCAUUGUCUCCACCUGUCUCAUUAGCCGCAAUUUAAAAGCAACACAAAAGCAGUAGUGACAGUUGUCUUUGGAGAAAGGCUUUCCUCUUUUGCAUUCUCCUAUUCAGUUUAGUUUCUCCUUGUGUAAAAAAAGCAGUUUGCUUUCACUAUUACUUGUGCUCAUCUGAACUAAGGGCAUAAGUACUCCCAGUCACCAAGAGGCUGCAUCUGCAAAAGACUCCAGAACCACAGGAUUAUAGGUUUGGGAUUCAUACUCAUUUGUCCAAAGUCCUGUGCUUGUCUUGACUUACAAAAUAAAACAAUAACACAAAAUACAGAUAUAAGAGAUACAGACUUACUCAACUCCAACUGCUGCAAAUGCUAGUAUUACUAACUUGAAUUUGAAUUCUUUUAAAAUAACCCACGCUACUGUAUCCACAAAGUAUGUCUUUGUCAUGUGAAUUUUAUUUUUACCAGUAAACUUAAAAUAGGUGGUGUUCAUUUUCUUUUUCUCUUCCAUGAAAGUCAGAAAGAAUUGAUAAAAUUGUUAAUGUUUCUAAUAUUAAUGUUAGUCACAUUCACUUGAAGAAGAAAAAACCCACCUCUCUUGUCUUUAAAUCAGUAGCAAGUUUAAGGUACAAUUAACUAAUUUCUUAAAAUUACUCUAUGUUUAAUGCAGCUGGGUAAGAGCUAAACCUUUCUAGUACUUCAGAGUUUUAGGAUUUCAGAAUUCAUGUACAAUUCCUUAGUUAUGCUGGCUGAUAUCUUGAUGUCUUCUUUAACUUCGCUUUUCUCAAUUUUGCUAACACAUCAAACAACUGCCCUCCUCCCUCCAAAAAAAAAAAAAAAAAAAAAAAAAAGAGAGAGAGAAAAGUAGACAAAUUAUACAUAAUGUGUAUAUGUAUAUUUAGAAGACUUUUUUUCUUUCAUUGAAAGUCUGAAAAAUACCAUUACAAAGGAGACUAAAAUGGAUGACAUUACAAAUAUUACAAAUGAGACAACUUGAGCCCUCUAAGAAAUUAAUCCUAAAAGAAGUGUGAUGCUACAAUUGGAAAAUAAAUGCAUUUCAGAAUACUUAUUUUAUAUUUGCCCAUUUAAACAUAGACCUAGGUAACAGAGCAGCAUAUUUUACACCCACAGUAAUUACUCAGUUGUGAAAAUACCAAAGCAGGGGAAAUAGGAGUUCAUUGCAGAAUGAAACAGUUUAACAGUCUGAUUCUUCGCAGAGGCACAGUCUGUAAAUUACAUGUUCACUGAUAUCAGAUUUAUACUUGAAAUCAACAAGUUUUCAAAGAGACUGUGUGGUACCAUUAUUAGUUGGAUUAAUUACAGUCCUCUUGGUUUCUUUUAUGUUUGAUAGGCAGGACUACAAAUAAGAAAAGUGAGUUGACCAAACCUUAAUUUCCAGAAACUCUAUGGAGAAGUUAAUGCAAGUUACUGAUGUUACUCUCAUGUUACCCUUAAUGUCCUUUUGAGUGAUGUUUAUGAUUAAUUUGGAGGUCCAGAUAAUAAAUAAAAUAAUGUGAAGAAUCUUUUUUUAAAUUUAAAACUGUCAUGUCAUGUCAUAUACAUUUGGUAUUACAGGCAGAACAUAGUACUGUGCUACUGUUAACUGGGGGAAAGAAUCCUGAUGUUACUUCUGUUCUUGGAACAAUUCUUAUGUGUAUUUUUUUUUCUUUUUUCCUCCAGCUAAUUGUUCAUGAAUUGGGAUGCUGGAUAUUUUUGGAUGCAUAAGUUCUUUUUUCUUGUUUCCUUUAUAAGCCUGCGUAAUCUAUCUGAGUAACUAGCAGAAACUGAUGGUUUCUCAGUAACAUUGCAAACAUUUAUGUGAGAAUUUAUAACCUUGGAAAGCACUAACAGUCCCAAGGAUCCAAAACAGGCUUCUGUUGUAGACAAUAUUGUAAAAGACUUUCAGUCAGAUCAUCUAUUGCUUGCACCUUCUCAGAAGCAUUUCUAUUAAGCAGUUUGAGGCAAAGUGUCAUUCUGUUCUAGUGAGGAUUUGUGUCUGGUAUUCAUUUGAGCAUGUGGCUAUACAAAAUACAAUGUAAGUGCCUUUUUUUUUUUUUUUUUUUUUUUUUUUUUUUCCCCACCCAUGCAUAUCUCCAAUUAAAUAAGUACUCAGGAAGCCUAAUGCCAAUUGUACUAAAAUAGGUAGGAGAAAAUGGUGAAAACAUAGCAUGUGCAAGCAGGAUACAACUACUAAGCACACACAAUACUAAAACAUUUUAAUUUCAUAAUAUUUAACAAGUUUUGGUGUUAAUUACCAGCACCUGUAUAUGUUGCCUAUAUUGAAAAGUAAUUUGGAAGUUUGAUUUAGAAUAGUCAUCUUCUGAACUCAUUUAGGAUGUUCAUACUGUAGUUUAUGAAAGGCAAUAUUCAGUUUCCAACUUGUGCUGUUGUUAGGAGAUAUUACUUAUUUAAUGCUUUCUUUACUAAUAACACCUCUUUAGAUCUAAUGACUAAUUGAGCAGGGGACCCACAGAUCCACCCCCUGGGAAAGGGGAGAGAGGGAAGGGUAGGGAGAUGGGAGAUGGGCCUAAAAACAGAACAGUGGCAACGAUCUGAGGAAGAAAGUUAAUUUACUAAAUAUGAUAUCAGAAUGCAAGAUAGCACAAUAUAAUACAAUAUAUAAUUGGAACUGAGGAUAAUAAAUCAAAUGAAAUGUGAGAGUGUCCAAAACUGAAGGCCUUACUCUGAACCGAAGGCAAAAUGGCUGGGGAACACACCCAUAAACUUUCAGGCAGUGAGAGAGAGAGAGAGUCCCAUGACUUGCCAGCACCUUUAUCUUCCCCUGUGAUUGCCAAGUCCUCUGGGGUAUGUUGUUCUCUUCUGAGAGCCAGGUAUUCAGAAAAUCUGCAGUCCACGGAAAUGGGGCAUUAACUCUUUAACUCCCAGUGCUUUGCAUGAUGUUACGAUGUGGAAUACCGAUAAUAAAAAUCAUAAAACCAUGACGGCAGCAAACAAAAAAUCUGACCUAGCAUUUGUGAGGCUUACAUAUUAAGCACGAUUUUUUUCAGUUCCUUAUCAAAAGUAUUUGUGUAAUACUAUGAAAUCCAGAAGCUGAAUCUUGCAGUAAGUAAUGAGAUUAUUAAGUAAUCAACAGAUUUGAUCUCAUGCUCUUCCAAAUUGCUCUACUGUCUUCAAUUGCGAAUGAUGGCAUUCAUGCACUUUUCUCAAUUAUAAAUUUUCAUAUUUCCUUCAGGCGAUAUUGUCAGGUAAGACUGUUCAAUAUGUGUUGGAGUGUGCAUAAAGUUGAUGUGAAAUGUAAAUAACUCAAAUAAGCAAUUUAUUUAUUCUUUAAAAAAUCGAUUAUGCAGUUUCCUUUUAUUUUAUGAGUUCCAGAAAUAAAUAAAUAAAUAAAUAAAUAAAUAAAUAAAUAAAUGGAAGUUUUACCAAAAUCUUGACAUUCAAAAGCUUUUUUGUGUCUUGUUUUAGACUGAAAAUUUCUAAAUCAACGUAUUAUAAAUGCUAAGUGUGAUAUAAUGGCUAAGAUUAAUGGCUAAUGGCUCGUGUCUGAUUCUGUAAAAUGCGGUAAAAAACUUGGUAUUCAAACUUUCUUUGAGGAAUGUAAAUGCUUUUGGACCUCAUUCUGAAAUGUCAGCAGUACUAAAAGGAUGAUGUUCUUUAUGGCAGAGGCCAGCAUGAAUCUCUAGAACUUAAUUAUGCUGACUGAUACCUAUCUGGAGUAUGAGCUUUCUGCUGGUCCUCUAUUCUGGGUGAAUUUAUCUGGAAACAUGCAACUAGACAAACCAUUUUGCGAUCACUAGUGUGAUUUCCUACUGCAGAGAAGAAUGAGUGUGAAGGCUGGUAAUUUUUUCUUCUUAAAAAUAGCAACAUUAUCAGCAUUAGCACUUCCAAAUCUUGUCCAUUACCUUUUUCAGAAAGCGAUAAAACUGUUUUAUCCUUUUACAAUAUUUAAACGGAAGUCUACAGGCUAUUAGAUAUGGGAUUUCACAGGGAUUUAGGAAAUUAUUGAACUGUCAGUUAUUUCCAAGGGGAACAUUGAAUAUAGCCACAUGAUAGCAUACCCAGGAAAGGCAUUUGACAGUGCAAGGAAGGCAGGGAAUAGACUUGACCUGACUGAGCGUAGUGUUUAACUAUUUCAGGUAUCACUCUCAUCUGAGUAGUCUUGAUUAAGUGGAAAGCUUUUUGGCUAUUUCUUGAGCUAGAUUAAAAGCGCAAAAAUUGAUUUCUUUAGAUAUAUGCCUGUCUAUCUAUGCUAGCAUUUCCAGAGUGAUCCAGAAUACAAUUAGCAGAACAGAUUAAUGCCUGUGAGGGUAAAGGGGAAGAGGAAUUUGAAUUAAUCUGAGCAGAUCAGUAUCUAUCCUUAAAAGUGAAGUGCAGUACAUGGAUUGUAGUAUAUUUUUUCCUGUGUGUUAGUAAACAGAAAUGAAUUAAGGCAAAGAACAAAUGUAUUACAUCUAAAACUUUAAGUUAAAAAUAACAUUAAAGUACAAGAUUCAGCACUCCAAUACUUAGACAUCUAAAAAGAUCUGUCAAGAUGAGAAACUAUUUUUUCAGAAGGGUAUGAUUUUUUCUAGUUGAACUAGUUUUUUUCUAGUUGAACUUUUUGAAAGAGAAAACAGAAUUACAAUGAUAAUGAAUGCUUAUUCUAAUGAACUGGAACAUCCUGCCUAAGGAAACAGUCAGGUUAAAGGUUUCAGUAGUCAGUGUAAUUAGUCUAGAAAGUCAAUAAAACCAACCCUCACUAGCUUUUUUUUUUAAAUGCAGUUAGUGUACUAACAAUAACAUUUUACCAGUCCAUAUGUGACAAUCUGAAAGGAAGAUCUUAAAGAGAGAAUCUGUGGCAGUUGCUUCUUGCUGUUUCCUACGGAAAAGUUUUCCACUUAUAAAUCUUUUUUUUUUUUUUUAACAUGUUCAAUAUUCAUUUUCCUACAAAUAUAUAUACAUAUAUAUAUGAAAUAAAUAGCAGCUUAUUUGAAAGAAGAAUUAAGAUCCUUGUUUUCAGAUAAUACAAGUUACCAAUAACAAAUUUUAAAAAGACGACAACCUACAUCUUAAGUAAUCUAUUUUAUGCACUGAAAAGUUCAUUGUCUACCUUAAUUCAAAAUCUAACAGCAAAAGAAUAUUUUAGAGAUGUAAACGCAGGAGGUAGACAUCAAAAUGCACUGGCAGUUUGGGAAAGAAAGCCAACUUAACUCAUUAUCUUUUCUUACAAUCCUUUCCAAAUAUAUAAUUUCUAAUGGUGGUAUGGGAGAGAAAAAGCUAGAUGGAUCUUUGAUCUGACCUUGUCUAGUUGUAAUUAUGCAAAAUAAGCUGUGUUUCUGAAUCGGAAUAUACAUUGCUAGAUCUUUUUUUCCUCAUAAAAUCUUAUGAAUAACUGUAAUCCUUUCUGUAGUACGUGUAGGUUCAAAUUUAAUUUUUUUCCAUAAGGU